UUUUGCUAUUGAAAGAAGACAACUGAAAACCUGCUUUUGAUGAAAAUUCUUCUAAAAUGGACUGGCCACCAGUUGUCACUUCAGGAACACAGUAUGUUCCUUUGCAUGAGGAGGUGCGGUGUCAAGGUCAUCAUUCAGACCAGACUCGAUGGCAAUUUCCUUACCGUCCUCAGAUGAAACCGAGGACACUGAUGGUCAGAAAUUGUCACGUUCCCAAGCUGGGCAAAGAGUGUAAACUUAGGAGAAGUUUGUUGCUGAGGGCUUUGCCCGGUAGACAGCCUCUAAGCGGCACCCCCUGCUGCACGGCUUCGUGCUGCCCCUUCCCACAGGCUACCGAGGUCGGUCUGUGGCCACACAGCGUGGAGCAGAGGGGACUGUGCACCACUUCCGAGAUUAGAGUAUAAAACAAAAGUGUCUGUUCUCUCUCUGUCUCUGUCUCUGUCACUCACUCUGGGGAAAAGCCAACUGCCACGGAGUGAGGCAGCCCUCCGUGGACCCCACGUGACAAGGAACUAAAGCUUCCAGCCAACAGCCAGUGAGAACUGAGGCCAAGAACCACGUGAGUGAGUUUGGAAGUGGAUUCUCCAGCCUCAGGAUAGCCUAGAGAUGACUGCGGCCCCAGCCAACAGCUUCCUGACAUCCCCAAACCAUGCUGUUAUCCAGGUUCCUACCCUCACAGACUGUGAAAUAAUAAGUAUUUCUUGUUUUUGGCUUUAUUUUGAAUAGAUUAGACUAGCUUUCGUUUGGGGUAAUUUGUGACAUGGCAAUAGAUAACAAAUCUGGUUGCCUGUUAGCGGAUGGCAGGAAGUCAUUUUUAACAUGUGACUUUCAGUUUUGACCCUCGAUGUUAUAAUUUCCAUCGGUUAGCUGCACUCUCCGUUACGUGUGAUAACCCGGGCAGCCCUGUGUGGGGGCUUUAUGCAACACCGAGGCAGAGUCCGCGGUGGGAGGCUGUGGAAUGCAAAUACUGAUGAGAAACUGCUGAGAAGACCCUCCGGAAUAACCUCCACAUUCACGGUGUGUUCUAGACCCCGUGGUUCUCAAGGACGAUGGGAGCAAUUUUUCCCUCUAUGGGACAUUUGGCAAUGUCUCGAGACAUUUUUGCUUCUCAUAACUGGGGCGGCAUGGGGGACAGUCCACUUCCGGUGAGUGGAGGGAGUAGUGGCCAGGGAUGGGGAGAGACCGGAGUAAUGCCCAGGACAGCCCACAGCAAGGAAUGAAUGGUUCACCCACAGUGUCAGUAGCGCUGCUGCUGAGAAACGCUGAAGGGAGAGCAGGUGCUCGGUUCCACCUCUGUGUCUUUUUUUUUUAUAUAUACACUGUGUAAGUUUAAGGGAGGAGGGAAGUAGGCUUACUGAGCUAUAAUAUGACCAGAUAAAGCCUCCAAGCCUAGAUAAAGCCUCUAGGUGUACCCCCUGCACCUUUUUUUAAUGGAAAUGUGACAUCCUUGUUUUGACUUCUUGCAAUAAGUGUGUUUCUGAAGUGGAGGGAGCCAAGCAUCCCAGUUAAUGGAGGGAUCUGAGCUGCUCUUCACAAUGGCAGUCAUAUUAAGGGCAUUAGCCAAAUUGCAGGAAAAACCUUAGCCCUUAAUGUAAUCAGAGCUCAGGUGGUGACACUGGCCAGACCACAUGCCCUUCAGGGCCACAGCUGACUCUGUAGAGGAAGGGGCUUUGCUGAGAUCAUGUCUGAGACCCUUAUUUCAAGUUCCUUCUUUUAGGGUCACACUGUGGAUGCACAGAGAAUGCCUAAGUCUAGACAAAACUGAUGGAGCAGUUUGACCGAUACCACUCAAAGGGGAAGGACACAUUAAACGAGGGGUUAGGAGUGUCCCUUUGGGGAUCUGGUGGUCCAGGACUGUGGAGAAGUAGAAUGCUUGCAGAGUUAGCAGAUGUGAAGGGGCGAGUCCACACACUCCUCAGCACACCUCCCUGUCUCUCUGAUGUCUGCACUUGUGGGUGUCUGCUCUGAGAAGACUCGAGGUGCGAUGGAGGUGGAGGUGUUCAGCAUGGGAAGGGCCUCAGGGCAAAGCGAGCAGAACCCACCUGACCCCUCGGUCAGCCCCUGCCCGGUGUUCUCCCCUCACCAUCCCCCGCCACCAAAAGCCUACAGGCACAGAUGUCAUCGGGUCUUAGCUACAACGUGGCGUGUUUGAGGGGACCUGAGGACCUGAGAAGCAGGGUAAGUCCGUGUGUAAAAUGUGAAUCAACACUUGCAUUUCUGUCCAAUUGUUCUGACAAGGUGAAAAUGAGGCCCCAAAAAGCUCACCAACAAGCUUCCCAGUGGAAAAAGUUACCUCGCCAAAGGAAAUGAUAUUUCAAAGCAUUGAAUGGAAGAACAUUUAAAGGUCAUAAGAUAGAAUUUAAGCCCAGAGGAUGACUUUUUCUUGGCCCUACUUGCCAACUCUAUAGACCUAAACAAGUUCCACCUAGAAGAUACGCAAAGGGAAGGGCAUCUGGCAACCAGACUUCCGUACCAGUCUGUUGAUUUUACUCAACUAUCAGAACGUGGCCAGGCUCCCGGGUCCGCCCGCUCCUUUCCAUGUCCACCUUCACCAUUUCAACCCGUGUCCUUUCUUCUAAACCCAGUUUAAAGAGUCAUCUGCCUAGUAAGCCUUUUUAAGAUUUGUUCUAGUCCAUUCUUUUUUUUUUUUUAAGGGAGGGUGAAUAAUUAGGUUUCUUUAUUUUUUUAGUGGAGAUACUAGGGGUUGAACCCAGGAUCUCGUGCGUGCUAGGCACGUGCUCUACCACUGAGCUUUACCUCCCCCCGCCCCCUGUUCUAGUCCAUCUGUUUAUAACUGAUUACCUGUUUACUCUGCUCAGGAGUCGAGGCCUGACUUUAUUUUGCCAUCAACAGCAUUGCUGAGGAUCUUUGUUAAGCUUUGCGCAGAGAGAGAGGAUUGGAACAAGGUACUCAAGGAACCGGAAAUCCAGCUGGGAAGGCAAGACACAUACAAAAUUGCUUCAGAGUGACUCAUGGUACCACCACUCAUAGACUGGGUCACAAACUGAACCAUGCUCUUCAUCUGCCUGUAACUUCGAAUUGGGAGACCAAGCAAGUAAAGCAAGGAUUUAUUAUUAUGGCAUGCUCUCAAGGGGAGAGGAGGCAGACUCAGAUACUCCCUUUUGUGCCGAGUGUAGACCAGAUGUUGAUAAUAUAAAUAUAUAAACAUAAAUAAGAUAUGGUUUCUGCCCUCAAAGAGCUCAUAAGCCAAUAGGAGAGAAAGAUGGGACACAGAUAAAAGCCCAGGAUGGUGGCUUCUGCCCGUCCAGGCAUAACAUCUGCUUUCUAGUCAGCCAGAAAUGGGAGGGGCACAUCUCUGCCUUUUUAUUUUGGAACCCAGAAUCCAGCCCAGGGAGUGAUGCCUACAUCUUUUCAGCCAGAACUGCGUUGUAUAGCUACCCUUAGAUGCAAGGAUAAGAGGAAGGUAAGGAUGAAGUUGGCUGAGAGUGUGUGUGGCAUGAAUCGACGUCCCCUCUCUUUCACACUAUCUCAAGGAAGAAGAGGAAGAUUUUGGAGAAUCCCAAACAGGACUUGGAGAUGGGGAAAUAAGAGUGGCUUCUGAGAGUUUAGCAGUAAGAGACUGAUGGGCAUUUCUUUCUCAGCCUUCAGUAAGCUUCAUGGAGACUCAAGGCUGUGUCACCUUGUUCCAAUCCAAAAAGUCAUCCCAGGAUGCAGUGUUCCUCCUUAUGUGAACCAAUCAUGAUUAGGGGGACUUCUGCUGAGGGUCAAGGCUGGAUUGUUCAUUGGUGAGGUGUCACCCAACAUACUGAUGGCUAUUUUCAGAGGAAGGAGAGUCAUUUUGAGCCAGGGAGCCUUGAGGUGGGUCCACCUAACCUUGAGUGGGUACACAGGAACGGAAAGCAAUUCCCAAGAUUGCCUUCUGAUGUCCUCAGCAUGCUCCUGAGGUGGUUUUAGGGACCCUGGAGAACAGAGGUCUGUCUUAGCAUCCAAAAGCAAGCCUGAAUCCCAGCUCUGGCCCAUGACUUGGGGCAAAUCUUUCCUUAAGCCUCCAUUAUCUCAUCUGUGAAGUAAGACUAGAAAUAGCCAAGGAUUAAAUGAGAAAAUGGAAUAAGCACACUGACAGGCCUAAAGCUUGGUACAGAGAAAGUGUGUUAUGAUUUUUAGAACAGUGCCAAGCUGGGACUAUUUUUGGUGGUCAUUGAUAUGUUUCACGUAACUGAAUCUGAUCUCACGGACAUAUGUCAUUAAUAUUUACCCCCAAAAUCUUCUUUCCCAUAACCUAUCUUUGGUUCUUCCAGGCCUUCUGUCACUUCUCACCAGCCAUGUCCUCUUUCAUGAGUGGCUGGGGAGAGAGUCGUAUGUGUACAGAGCACAUGUCUUCCAGAACCAAGAGCUGUGUCUCAUAAUCCCAUUUGCAGUGUAUGCAAGUUGAGAAGGGAAAACCUGGCAUCCCCCUGCUCACUGGAGCUCACACAGAACCCAAAGGGUUAAAGCAGCAUUCCAACGAGCUGCAUGCGAGAGUCUCUAACAGGCUGUCCAGGGAGACAGUCACUUGACCACGCUACGUUCAAUGAGAUCCCUGGCGAUAAAUCUUUCAGCAACAGGUUGAUCCCUCUCCGAAACAGACUGUCUAGCAACGUUUCCACCUUCGGCACUUGUCGGGACGGAGUGAGUGCGAGGUGGGGGCCCAGCCACGCACGCAACCAACCGCAGACUAACACCUUGACGGGCUUCCUCUUUCAAGGGCCGACUGGUCGAUACUCUGGCUACUGCUGGGAGGGAGAGAAAAGGGAACAGUUUGCAAAGCCAAUAGUAACAGCAAACACAGCAGAUCAUCUGCGAAAGGGAGCUGCUGAUCUGACUUCCAGAGGCUGAAGCAACAAGGUGAAAGGGGCAGGACCCAGGACCCAGCUCCAUGUCACUUCCAACGCCUCGCUCCUCUCAGGCUUCCCUUGGGUGCUGUGCACUCACCAGACCACAGAAGGUCAGCGCAUGAUGGCCUGAUGAGCGGCUUGGAGCCUACAUCAUCCCUGGGCCUCCUGGAGACGCUGCAGCCGUGCAGGCCCCUCGGGGGCCAGGAUGCAUCUGGUGAAACUUCAUUUCAGCACAGGUGUUGGUGACAUGGUCAAGUCGUGUAGACAUGAGAGAUUUAGUUGCUCCUUCCCUUGGUGGCCUGUCUAUACAGCUCCAUAGGGGGAGAGGUGGGGAUGUUUCUGCCCCACCACUCAGAGACGGAAGGAAGAAUAAAUCCCAGCACUUGGAACCUCCAAUCAAGCCACCUUUUUUGUAUCCUUUGGUAUAAGGGAGAUGUUGGGGACUGAAACGUACAUUGAGAAAGGUGAAAGCUUGCUUUCUUAGUGGUCUUUUGGCAAAAGGAUUAUUGAUAGCGUAGUGAAGUUGGCCAGGGGAAAAGUUCUCCAAUCAGACUUCCAAUCCCAGCCCUACCACUUCCUGGGUAUGUGUCUUCGUCUGUUUGGGCUGCCAGAUCAAAUUAGACUGGAAGACAAUUUAUGCUAAACUACAGACAUUUAUUUCUCAUGGUUCUGGAGGCUGGAAGUCUGAGAUAAGGGUGCCAGUGUGGGCCAGCACCUUUGCCUCCUUAUAACAAGGAUUACCUUUCAUCCUGUUUUUAAUAACAUGCCCCUCCUUUCUGUCUGAGACCUCCCCAUAAUCCCACCAAUGUCCAUAUGUCUAACAUGUACCUCAAAACUCUUCCAGGCUCGACCUAGUACCCAGUUCCAAAGCCUUUUUAUAACAGGUAUUCGUUACAGCAACAACCCUCUUCUCAGUAGAAAAAUCUUAGUCUCUUCAAGCUGUCAUAACAAAAUACAAGACAUUGGGUGGCUAAAACAGCAGAAAUUUAUUUUCUCACAGUUCUGGAGGCUGGAUGUCCCAAGAUCUCUAGUCAGCAAACUGGACCCAGGAGAGGAGGUCCAGUCUGAGUCCAAAGGCCUGAGAACCAGGAAGGUCAAUGGUAUGACUGACUUUCUCCACGAACACAGAAAAUUAAGCCAUGGCGACAACUGAGGAAAUAAUAGGGCACAACAUGUGUUCAUGGUGGACUGUGAAUAGACUGGAUUAAGAGCUGGUCUGCCUCUAGUGGAAUUCUAUCUAUCAUGAGAGCCUUACUAACAGGAAAUAGCAGAAAUCAAGUGUAGUUAACCUAAAGAAAGGAGGAAUUUGCUGGAGGAGAUCAGAGAACUCCCAGAAAUGUCAGGCUCAGGGCACAGUGGAGGUACUGGAGAUGGAACCCAGGACCUUGUGCAUUCUAGGCAUAUGCUGUACCACUGAGCUGUACCCACCCCACCUGAUGACUUCCAUUUUAAAAUGGCAUUGAGCAUGUAACUGCAGAGCAGAUCUGGCUGCUGUUGGUGGAACCAUUAACAAUUUCAAGUGCGAUGCUGUCUUCUUUGGUCCUAUGCAGCUUCCCCUGGAAGACUGUACCUCCCCUGCCAAAGCGAGUCCCUGAAAUCUGUUCGGAAACUAACCACAGGCCUGUGUCCCAGUGGAAGUGGCUGCUGAACACAAUUCCUGCUGUCUGGCUGGUGAUGUGCUAAUCACCCUUUGUUGUUCUAAACAAAUACGUCUCAGCAGAGACUCAAAGGAACUUUUUCAGAGAAGAAAGUGGAUGUGUUCACACCGCUUUUAUGUGGGCAGAAUGAGCGAUGCUUAGUCAAAUAAUCACUCCUGAUUCUCUCUUGGGCAUAUGUGGUUUGGACUAGAAACUAAAAGCUACUUGGACAAUUUUGCAGAACCUUAUCGCUGGCUUCGGUCUGGAGCUCCUGUCUGAAACAGCAGGUAGCAUCAGGGCAUUACAAGACAUACGCGUUGGGUUGGGUGUGUUCCUCCUUCAUGAGGCGCAGUUUGUGAUUCAUCUAUUUAAUUGUGCUGUAAACGGACAUUUAUGGAGCACCUGCUUGGGGCUAGGACUUGUAUCAGUAUUGAGAUUUUACUUACAAAAAAAAAAAAGACAAAAUCCCUAGCAGGUGGUAUGGCAGUGUCAGGGGAGCAGGUAGACAUGAAAACAGAAUGAAAAUGCAGGAUGAUGGAAAUGUCAUGUUAUGAAUGCCUGGAGAGUGUGGUACAGGAGCACAGAGAAGGGACUGACUAGAUGUUUUGGGGGUAAAUCUGGAAAGAAAUAAAGAGAAGUAUUUGAGUGGAGUCGUAAUGAAAACAGUGUAACCAGAACAUUACGUGGGAGGCUCUUUGUAGCUGGAGGUCAAAAGUCUGCAAGUUUUAGGACCUACAAAGUUCAGGAUGACUGUGAGUGACAUAGGAGGGGGUUAAUCAAAGAGUGAAAGGAGAAUUUUAAAAGGAGCUAAAACAGACCCUGAUACGAAUAGUCAUAGACAUCAUGCAAAGACCUUGGAUUAUGUUAACAGGCUUUUCACGCGGAAGAGGGGUGUGAUGGGACUAUAUCUGAGAAUGACCGCUCUGUUGACAGAAGAAUGAAUUAGAGCAGAAAGAGGACAGGAGACCUUACAGACAGCCAGGCUGCAGGUGCAGUUUUACCAUUUUGGUGACAAUUUAUGGAAGAAUGAGAAGGUUUACCGUUCUCCCACAGUCUCUUUAAAAACGUGAACGCCGUAAGGGCCCAAUAGGAGAAUUUCAUGGAGUAUUUUCAUUAAAAAAUAAUUACAGAGAUUAUUUUCUUUUACUGGCCUGAAAUCUUAAAAAAAAAAAAAAAAGACAGUAGGCCAAUACAGUAAAUCUUGCCUUUUCUAACAUAAAUUUUAUAUAGCGUGAGACAAAUUUUGUCUUCUAACCCAUAAGAUGAUUAACAGCAAAGUCGUCAAUUAUGGAGAAUCAGUAAGUUGUUAAAGAAUACUGCUUCUUAAUUGAAGGCUUUUACACUAGUUGUCUACCUCCUGAAAGGACUUAUUUCCCCAUUCAGUGCUAAAUUUAAGGACCCCUUUCAAACAUCCAUCAUGUAUCAUUGAACCGGAUCAGAAGACGUGAGUGCGGACUGCUUUAAGGCAUGUCAAAAUGAGUAACUGUUUUAGUAAGCUGUUCUAUUUCUAAUACAAGCCGGUGAAAAAACAAUGAGCCAGUCUCCAGUGUUAAGAUGGGAAAAUAUGAAAACCAUCCCGGCUUACUCCACUCAUCACCAUGGUUUCAUCAUCUAUUACACAGUAAAACAAACACAGCCACUGACUAUAACCCUUAAUGAGCAUAUGUGACUCUGAUAAUGUUUAUCGGGUUUAUUUGUUUGAGGCCAACUGAAAUGAAAAGAAAACAGUGCAGCGUUGGGUCAUUAGUCUCUUCUGACGUGUGCUGUAACUCUAAGGAAAACAUUAGUAGCCUAUUUUUAGCAAGUACCUUCAUCCACUGAAGCGAUAAUGGCCCAAGGAAUAAUCCCUGGGAUGGAACACAGAAAUUCCAGGAAUUAAACGUUCUUGCUCAUCUGUGCUACGGUCACAGGAAAUCUAUCAGCGCCGUCCUUUCUCAUCAACAUCGAGAAAUGUUUCACAUCAGACUGUUAUGCAAUCCUCUCCAACUAGACUGCCUUCUGCCUUCAUCUCUGCUAAGUCGGGGUCCUCCCAGACAGAAGAAAUGAAAUACGUCACCUCCUCCCGGAAGCCUCUCUUUGCCUGUAAACGUUAGCCCUUGUGCUUUAUAUUAUUUUCAUUUAUGUAAUCUGUCUAUUUUAUGUUCUUUCCAAUCUUCAAAAAUCCUAUUGAAAAAACUCAUACAGAAAUGACAGAAGCAAGACAUCUUUCUAGAUUCCACUGCGAUUGGUGUAUGUGGAAGGAGGCAGAUAAAUAAAAAAGGUAGUUUCUUCCCUGUGGGGGUACAAAACCCACCAGAAGGGAUAAGGCAGAUGGAGAGGGUCAGAGAGUGGUCCUCAGCAUCUGAGAGGGAAGCAGCUGCUGUCACCAACCCCGGGACUCAGUGAUUGACAAAGAGUGUGUGUGGACAUGAGGGGGUGGCCACCAGCCAGGCUGGUGGGGUGGAGGGAGAGGAGGGCCUGGGCAGGGGUUUGAAAACUAUCAGGAGGCACUGGAGAGUCAGAACAGGGCCUUUGGAAUAAACAAAACAGAUACGAGUUAAAAUAUGGGACCUUCUGUCUGUGUGAUUUUGAUAAGUUACACCACGAUUUUGGGGCAUAUGAGAUGACUGUUACCACAAAUGAGAUUCUGUGAAAAGACUCAUUAAAUUGUCCAGGUUACAAGUUCUCACUGAAGGGCAUUUAUGGUCCUUAUUGCUAUGAUUUGAUGCUUCUCAGGGAGUUUGCCUCCCCAUUCUUUCCCCCAUUGGGGACUCAUUGUAUUUAAUUGUGAAGUGUCUCCCAAGGGACAGUGUAUGUGGGGAAUUCAGAAGAAAAGGAGUCCUCUGACUUUGGGGGUGGGGCUCAGAGUGGGCUUUGUGGAGGAGAUACCACUUCAGCUGGUUUGUAAGAGUCAGUUAUGAUUUGAGGAAGCAGCGAUGAAGAAGACGGACCACCCACCCAUGAGCCAAAUAAUAAAUGGAGAACAUUUACACACUUCUUUCUUGGUGUUCCAAGAUGAGUUCCAGGCCUUUGUUGGAUACUCCCUCCAGAAAUGGUAAGCUUCUUAGAGCAGGGACCAUGAUUUUACAUCUUAUUUAUUAUCCCCACAGAGAAGCCAAUAGAAAUAAAAUAAAUGCUUUUUGU